rnacentral:lncRNA from 1 species
UUGUCUCUACAAAAAUUUUAAUAUUUUCAAAUAUAUCCCUCUAAUUUGUUACCGUUAAAAAUCAUUAGAAAACUGUUUAUAUUUUCAAUUCUAUUAUUAUAAAAAGUUGAACUUCAAGAAUAUAUUUGUCAUUCAUUAUAUUUGUAGAGACAUGUAUGAAAUUAACUCUAUAUAAUAUGUAGAAUAGAAGAUAUCCUUUUCUUACGUUUUCUUUCAACCAAACAAUUUUGAUGAGGAAUUUUUAUUUUUUCCUACAAAUCAAGUACUAAAAUGUAUGAAAUUUAUUUUUCUCCGAAAAUUUUUUCACCGAAAAUUAUUUUUCACAGUUUUAUGUGAAACCAAGCGGCCCCUAAAUGAAAAGAGUAUUAUCAGUGCAAUCCGGUUACUAUACUAUUUAUAGUACCAAAUUCUUGACACUCUCUACUUUUCUAUCGUUAGAUCUAUCCUUUGAUCAUUUUCACCCAUUAGAUUAUACUAUUCAACUAAUAAUCUACUAAAUUUUAAGAGACCACUAUCAUUUUAACCGUACAUUUUUUCAUUCAAUGGUCCAAAACUCAAUAGCAUAAAACGUUUGGUACUAUCGAUAGUAUAAUAACAUAAUUCUUGUCAGUGACAAGUAAAUGGUAAACAUGAUUUUGAAUCACAAUCA